GGCACCUGCACCCCAAUUUUCACCAACACCCCAACUUUUUCCAGGUACCCACACCCAAAUUUAGGAGCUACCUGCACCCCAAAUUUCACCUGCACCCCAAUUUUCACCAAUACCGCAACCCCUCCCAGCCACCCACACCCAAAUUUAGGAGCCACCAGCACCCCAAAUUUCACCUGCACCCCAAUUUUCACCAACACCCCAACUUCUCCCAGGUACCCACACCCAAAUUUAGGAGCUACCUGCACCCCAGAUUUCACCUGCACCCCAAUUUUCACCAACACCCCAACCCCUCCCAGACACUCACACCCAAAUUUAGGAGCCACCUGCACCCCAUGUUUCACCUGCACCCCAACCCCUCCCAGCCACUCAACGUCCAAAUUUUGGGGGCACCAACACCCCAAUUUUCCUCUGCACCCCAACCCCUCCCAGCCACCCUACACCCAAAUUUGGGAGCCACCAACACCCCAAAAUCCUGUGAGGCACCUGCACCCCAAUUUUCACCUGCACCCCAAUUUUCACCAACACCCCAACUUCUCCCAGGUACCCAUACCCAAAUUUAGGAGCCACCAGCACCCCAGAUUUCCUCUGCACCCCAAAUUCCACCCACACCCCAACUUCUCCCAGGUACCCACACCCAAAUUUAGGAGCUACCUGCACCCCAGAUUUCACCUGCACCCCAAUUUUCACCAAUACCGCAACCCCUCCCAGCCACCCACACCCAAAUUUAGGAGCCACCAGCACCCCAAUUUUCACCUGUACCCCAACCCCUCCCAACCACCCNAAACACCUCCAGACCCAUUUCAGCCUCAAACACCCCCAGACCCAUUUCAGCCUCAAAUAUCCCCCAGACCCAUUUCAGCCUGCUCAUCCCAUUGUGCUUCCCCAUCCCCAUUUCAGCCUCAAAUAUCCCCCAGACCCAUUUCAGCCUCAAACACCCUCAGCCCCAUUUCAGCCUUAAAUAACCCCCAGCCCCAUUUCAGCCUCAAACACCCCCAGACCCAUUUCAUCCUAAAACACCCCCAGCCCCAUUUCAUUCUUCACAUCCCAGUGUGCUCCCUGUGCUUCCCCAGCCCCAUUUCACCCUGCACAUCCCCUGUGCUCCCCCAGCCCCAUUUCAUCCUGCUCAUCCCCUGUGCUCCCCCAGCCCCAUUUCACCCUGCUCAUCCCCUGUGCUCCCCCAGCCCCAUUUCAUCCUGCACAUCCCCCAGCCCCAUUUGA
rnacentral:lncRNA from 1 species